UUGGUCACCGCGCACCGAAAAAUGGAAAAUUUAAGAAGAUGAAACGCUCUAGAGCGACAAUGUCUUUGUGUCCCGGUCCCACCACAGCAAGGUAGACUAAAAGGAAUACAGGUUGGGACCUCUUUUCAUAAGAAAAACAAAAUCUCACAAAGGAGCAUUUUUGUUCAGACCCUCGCCCACUCUCAUCAGGAUGCAGCGGUACAGGGCCAUGACAGCUCCCUUGGUCCUGGGCCAAAAACCAGAGCUCCAUGAGGCCCCCCCCACAAGUAGCCCCGAGCAGGGAGCUCUUCCUCCCCUCUUCCUCCUCCCUCCCGGUGCAGUGGAAGUCACGAACCUGCCCUAAAGCCUUUGCAGCUGGGACACCGGUUUGAAAUACCAGUACCUGAGGUUAUCCUCCCAAAGCCUUCCUGAUGCCUCUAUUAAAUUGGUUUUGCUUUUCAAGGACUCGCUACCGGUUUCCAGUUGAGUGUGGAUUCUAGUACGAGGCAGAGAUUCUGCCCUAGGUCAGGUAUGAAUGAAGCCCAAGAUGAUUGUCCAGCAUUAUCUGUUGACAUCAUAUACAACCCCUGAUCCAUGGACCUGGCUCCUUUCUGGGUUUCUCAG